CUAAUAUAUAUAUAUAUAUAUAUAUAUAUAUAUAUAUAUAUAUAUAUAUAUAUAUAUAUAUAUAGUUGAGCUAGAAUAUUUUUAGAAGAACCAACCCCUUGGUACUUCUAGGUUUUUAGCCUUUGAAUCUACUCCUUAAUUACUAAUAGUCUUUGAAUCAAAUACUAUUCCACCUACCACUACCUACCACUAUCAUCUCAACCCUAUAUCUCUCUAUCCAAUGACUAAAAACUCAAAAGCACCACUCCUUUGGUGCUUUUGAGAGUAUUCUAGCUCAACUCAUAUACAUAUAUAUAGAGUUGAGCUAGAAUACUAUCGAUAACAAACGGACUCCGUUGCCACCCAUUUAUUUUUCAUGACAGAGCCUUCAAAUCAACAAUCUGCACUGUUAAAAUAAUCUAUAUAUAUACCACUUGAAGUGUUUAGAAAUCAAAAUUCAAAUCUUUUGUGGUCCGGAUCAAUUUGCACAUGUACCAA
rnacentral:lncRNA from 1 species